rnacentral:rRNA from 1 species
GUCUACGGCCACACCAUCCCGAACACGCCCAAUCUCAUCUGAUCUCGGAAGCAAAGCAGGGUCAGGUCUGGUUAGUACUUGGGAUGGGACAAUCAGUUCAAGCUUACCACAUCAAACU